rnacentral:rRNA from 1 species
AGAGUUUGAUCCUGGCUCAGGAUGAACGCUAGCGACAGGCUUAACACAUGCAAGUCGAGGGGCAGCACAGGUAGCAAUACCGGGUGGCGACCGGCGCACGGGUGAGUAACGCGUAUGCAACUUACCUAUCAGAGGGGGAUAACCCGGCGAAAGUCGGACUAAUACCGCAUGAAGCAGGGAUCCCGCAUGGGAAUAUUUGCUAAAGAUUCAUCGCUGAUAGAUAGGCAUGCGUUCCAUUAGGCAGUUGGCGGGGUAACGGCCCACCAAACCGACGAUGGAUAGGGGUUCUGAGAGGAAGGUCCCCCACAUUGGUACUGAGACACGGACCAAACUCCUACGGGAGGCAGCAGUGAGGAAUAUUGGUCAAUGGCCGAGAGGCUGAACCAGCCAAGUCGCGUGAGGGAUGAAGGUUCUAUGGAUCGUAAACCUCUUUUAUAAGGGAAUAAAGUGCGGGACGUGUCCUAUUUUGUAUGUACCUUAUGAAUAAGGAUCGGCUAACUCCGUGCCAGCAGCCGCGGUAAUACGGAGGAUCCGAGCGUUAUCCGGAUUUAUUGGGUUUAAAGGGUGCGUAGGCGGCCUUUUAAGUCAGCGGUGAAAGUCUGUGGCUCAACCAUAGAAUUGCCGUUGAAACUGGGGGGCUUGAGUAUGUUUGAGGCAGGCGGAAUGCGUGGUGUAGCGGUGAAAUGCAUAGAUAUCACGCAGAACCCCGAUUGCGAAGGCAGCCUGCCAAGCCAUGACUGACGCUGAUGCACGAAAGCGUGGGGAUCAAACAGGAUUAGAUACCCUGGUAGUCCACGCAGUAAACGAUGAUCACUAGCUGUUUGCGAUACACUGUAAGCGGCACAGCGAAAGCGUUAAGUGAUCCACCUGGGGAGUACGCCGGCAACGGUGAAACUCAAAGGAAUUGACGGGGGCCCGCACAAGCGGAGGAACAUGUGGUUUAA